UACAGAGGGUGCAAGCGUUAAUCGGAGUUACUGGGCGUAAAGCGUGCGCAGACGGUUGCGUAAGUCAGAUGUGAAAGCCCCGGGCUCAACCUGGGAAUUGCAUUUGAGACUGCGUAGCUAGGGUGCGGAAGAGGGAAGCGGAAUUUCCGGUGUAGCGGUGAAAUGCGUAGAUAUCGGAAGGAACACCAGUGGCGAAAGCGGCUUCCUGGUCCAGCACCGACGUUCAGGCACGAAAGCGUGGGGAGCAAACAGG
rnacentral:rRNA from 1 species